GCAUAUCAAUAAGCGGAGGAAAAGAAACCAACAGGGAUUACCUCAGUAACGGCGAGUGAAGCGGUAACAGCUCAAAUUUGAAAUCUGGCCUCACGGUCCGAGUUGUAAUUUGUAGAGGAUGCUUCGAGCAUGGUCUGGCCUAAGUUCCUUGGAACAGGACGUCAUAGAGGGUGAGAAUCCCGUAUGCGGCCAGGUGCCUACGCUCAUGUGAAGCUCCUUCGACGAGUCGAGUUGUUUGGGAAUGCAGCUCAAAAUGGGUGGUAAAUUUCAUCUAAAGCUAAAUAUUGGCCAGAGACCGAUAGCGCACAAGUAGAGUGAUCGAAAGAUGAAAAGCACUUUGGAAAGAGAGUUAAACAGUACGUGAAAUUGUUGAAAGGGAAGCGCUUGCAACCAGACUUGCGCGCGGCCGAUCAUCCGGUGUUCUCACCGGUGCACUCGGCCGUGCUCAGGCCAGCAUCGGUUUUGGCGGCUGGAUAAAGGCCCUAGGAAUGUGGCUCCUCUCGGGGAGUGUUAUAGCCUAGGGUGCAAUGCAGCCUGCUGGGACCGAGGACCGCGCUUCGGCUAGGAUGCUGGCGUAAUGGUUGUAAGCGGCCCGUCUUGAAACACGGACCAAGGAGUCUAACAUCUAUGCGAGUGUUUGGGUGUCAAACCCAUACGCGUAAUGAAAGUGAACGGAGGUGAGAACCCUUAAGGGUGCAUCAUCGACCGGUCCUGAAGUUUACGGAAGGAUCUGAGUAAGAGCAUAGCUGUUGGGACCCGAAAGAUGGUGAACUAUGCCUGAAUAGGGUGAAGCCAGAGGAAACUCUGGUGGAGGCUCGCAGCGGUUCUGACGUGCAAAUCGAUCGUCAAAUUUGGGUAUAGGGGCGAAAGACUAAUCGAACCAUCUAGUAGCUGGUUCCUGCCGA
rnacentral:rRNA from 1 species